AUGCUAAAUCAGGCAUCCCCAAACUACGGCCCGCGGGCCACAUGUGGCCCCCUGAGGCCAUUUAUCCGGCCCCCCGCCGCACUUCAGGAAGGGGCACCUCUUUCAUUGGUGGUCAGUGAGAGGAGCAGAGUAUGUGGCGGCCCUCCAACGAACUCGGUGGUGGCCACUGUGCAGACCAAACUUCGCUCGUUCGUGCACCUCGCUCCGCUUUUCCUCCGCAACCAUGCCUGACAAACCCGAUAUGGCUGAGGUCGAGAAAUUCAGUAAGUCGAAACUGAAGGAAGACAGAAACGCAACAGAAAAAUCCACUGCCUUCCAAAGGAACGAUUGAACAGGAGAAGCAAGCAGGCGAAUCCUAAUGAGUCGUGCGCCGCCAAUAUGCACUGUACAUUCCACAAGCAUUGCCUUCUUAUUUUACUUCUUUUAGCUGUUUAACUUUGUAAGAUACAAAGAGGUUGGAUCAAGUUUAAAUGACUGUGCUGCCCCUUUCACAUCAAAGAACUACUGACAACGAAGGCCGCGCCUGCCUCUCCCAUCUGUCUAGCUGGCUGGCAGGGA